GACGAACGCUGGCGGCGUGCUUAACACAUGCAAGUCGAACGGAAAGGCCCUGCUUUUGUGGGGUGCUCGAGUGGCGAACGGGUGAGUAACACGUGAGUAACCUGCCCUUGACUUUGGGAUAACUUCAGGAAACUGGGGCUAAUACCGGAUAGGAGCUCCUGCUGCAUGGUGGGGGUUGGAAAGUUUCGGCGGUUGGAGAUGGACUCGCGGCUUAUCAGCUUGUUGGUGGGGUAGUGGCUUACCAAGGCUUUGACGGGUAGCCGGCCUGAGAGGGUGACCGGCCACAUUGGGACUGAGAUACGGCCCAGACUCCUACGGGAGGCAGCAGUGGGGAAUAUGGCACAAUGGGCGGAAGCCUGAUGCAGCAACGCCGCGUGCGGGAUGACGGCCUUCGGGUUGUAAACCGCUUUCGCCUGUGACGAAGCGUGAGUGACGGUAAUGGGUAAAGAAGCACCGGCUAACUACGUG
rnacentral:rRNA from 1 species